UACGUAGGGGGCAAGCGUUGUCCGGAUUUACUGGGCGUAAAGCGCGUAGGCGGAAGCGAAAGUCCGGUGUGAAAGCCCCCCGCUCAACGGGGGAAGGUCGCUGGAAACUGCGCUUCUUGAGGGCGGCAGAGGGAAGUGGAAUUGCUGGUGUAGCGGUGAAAUGCGUAGAGAUCAGCAGGAACACCCGUGGCGAAGGCGGCUUCCUGGGCCGCGCCUGACGCUGAGACGCGAAAGCGUGGGGAGCGAACGGG
rnacentral:rRNA from 1 species